UACGAAGGGUGCAAGCGUUACUCGGAAUUACUGGGCGUAAAGCGUGCGCAGGCGGUUCGUUGUGUCGGCGGUGAAAGCCCCGGGCUCAACCUGGGAAUGGCCGUUGAAACUGGCGAACUGGAGUGUGGCAGAGGGGGGUGGAAUUCCGCGUGUAGCAGUGAAAUGCGUAGAGAUGCGGAGGAACACCGUUGGCGAAGGCAGCCCCCUGGGCUGACACUGACGCUCAGGCACGAAAGCGUGGGGAGCAAACAGG
rnacentral:rRNA from 1 species